GCCAGGCGUGGUGGCGCUUGCCUGUAGUCCCAGUUACGUGGGAGGCUGAGGUGGGAGGAUCACUUGAGCCCAGGGAAGUUGAGGCUGCAGUGAGUCAAGAUGGAGCCACUGCACCCCAGCCUGGGUGACAGAGUGAGACCCUGUCUCAA
ensembl:misc_RNA Metazoa_SRP Metazoan signal recognition particle RNA